UACGUAGGGUGCGAGCGUUGUCUGGAAUUAUUGGGCGUAAAGAGCUUGUAGGCGGUUUGUCGCGUCUGCUGUGAAAAUCCGGGGCUCAACCCCGGACUUGCAGUGGGUACGGGCAGACUAGAGUGUGGUAGGGGAGACUGGAAUUCCUGGUGUAGCGGUGAAAUGCGUAGAUAUCGUAAGGAAGACCCGUGGCGAAGGCGGGUCUCUGGGCCAUAACUGACGCUGAGAAGCGAAAGCAUGGGGAGCGAACAGG
rnacentral:rRNA from 1 species